GUGGGGAAUAUUGCACAAUGGGGGAAACCCUGAUGCAGCAACGCCGCGUGGAGGAUGACGCAUUUCGGUGUGUAAACUCCUUUUAUAAGGGAAGAUAAUGACGGUACCUUAUGAAUAAGCACCGGCUAACUCCGUGCCAGCAGCCGCGGUAAUACGGAGGGUGCAAGCGUUACUCGGAAUCACUGGGCGUAAAGGAUGCGUAGGCUGUAAUAUAAGUCAGAAGUGAAAUCCAACGGCUUAACCGUUGAACUGCUUUUGAAACUGUUUUACUAGAAUAUGGGAGAGGUAGAUGGAAUUGGUGGUGUAGGGGUAAAAUCCGUAGAUAUCACCAGGAAUACCGAUUGCGAAGGCGAUCUACUGGAACAUUAUUGACGCUGAGGCAUGAAAGCGUGGGGAGCAAACAGGAUUAGAUACCCCGGUAGUCC
rnacentral:rRNA from 1 species